rnacentral:rRNA from 1 species
GACGAACGCUGGCGGCGUGCCUAAUACAUGCAAGUAGAACGCUGAAGGAGGAGCUUGCUUCUCUGGAUGAGUUGCGAACGGGUGAGUAACGCGUAGGUAACCUGCCUGGUAGAGGGGGAUAACUAUUGGAAACGAUAGCUAAUACCGCAUAAGAGUAGAUGUCGCAUGACAUUUGCUUAAAAGGUGCAAUUGCAUCACUACCAGAUGGACCUGCGUUGUAUUAGCUAGUUGGUGAGGUAACGGCUCACCAAGGCAACGAUACAUAGCCGACCUGAGAGGGUGAUCGGCCAACCUGGGACUGAGACACGGCCCAGACUCCUACGGGAGGCAGCAGUAGGGAAUCUUCGGCAAUGGACGGAAGUCUGACCGAGCAACGCCGCGUGAGUGAAGAAGGUUUUCGGAUCGUAAAGCUCUGUUGUAAGAGAAGAACGAGUGUGAGAGUGGAAAGUUCACACUGUGACGGUAUCUUACCAGAAAGGGACGGCUAACUACGUG